GUUAGAUGCUAGGCGGUAAGAGGAGGAAGCUAAUUGUGCUAGCGCUAGCUAAUUAAUGCUGCCUUUCCUAUUAACAUUCUUUGGAGUGCUCCAUUUCAAUUAGAUGAUCUGUCCAGGAAGAGAGGCUGUCGUCAGUCCAGAGAAAGUAAGCAAGAGGAGGUGACGGAAGGAGGGAAACAGAGACAGAGACAGAGGAAAAGAGGAGAGAGACCGAAGGGAGAGUGGAAUGGUGGGGGAUGAGGGAGAGACUGAGAUGCAAAUAGGGAAACAAAAGAAGAAACAGAAAGGAAGAAUGACUGAGGAUGUGGGGGAGAGGAGGGGUGCGCAGCGGAAGACUUGCAGGAGAGAGGCCUGGAAGGGGUGGGAAUUGCUCCUGUAAUAUGCAAGAUUCGUAUUAAUGAAAUAAUUAAACUUCCCAUUUGCAACGCCCUAACACGAGCCUGCCAGCUUGCCGAGGGGAUGGUAACUGCUCUGAGUCCCGAUUUGUAUUCGCACUGGAGGCAGCUCAGACUCACCCCAUCUCCAAAGGGAAAAACCAAGUCUGCAUGUGGAGAACGGGUAUAACAGUACUCACCGCAGAAACUGUCAGAAGGAUGGCGUACACAACAGACUGAGUACGGUGCCUGAUGGCUGCAACAAUAUCUGCCAUCUCACAUGCUUAUCUCAUGAUGUGACUUUGACACUCCUCCCAUCAAGCAGGCAAGGCU
rnacentral:lncRNA from 10 species